ensembl:snoRNA
GUCCUUUGGUUCAUGAGCGUGAUGAUUGGGUGUUCAUGCCAUAUGCAUGAGAUGUGCUUCCCUCAAACCUUGUUACAAAGUUGGCACAUUAUCCAUAUGACC